GAAGGCAGCUGGAUGGGACAGUAUAGGCAACCAGAUGUACCUGUAGGUCAGAGAUGACUGAACUCUCUUCUGUCACCGUCCCACAGCCAGCUUCCUAAGCCUGGUGGGUGGGACUUCUGAUAAGCACUGCAAGAUGUCUGGAGCCAUGUGGUACAACCCAAAUAUAACAGCACCGGGCAGCCUGAGAGCAUUGUUCUCUGGUCACACAGGAAGUGUGUCUCUCUGAAUGUCACCCGGAGCCUUUCUGCACAAGGCAUAAUGAUGCCAGGAAAGGAAGCAGUAAGACAUUUUUGAACCACUGAGGAGAUUUUGGCACUGUGCAGUGCCCGGUGUGGGACAGUUCUGCCUUGCAGAAAGCAUAAUGGGAGCCCUCAUGAAUGAAGAUGUGCCUUUGCUGUGAAAACAGUGGUGCCUCUAAUUACAAGAGAAGCAUCUUCAGUCUUAGAGCCAAAUUCUUGAUAAGGAAAUGUCCUUGUUUAAGUGUAUCUAAUUGAGACCUGCACUCCAGCUCCAGCUCCAUACAUAGGUGAUGCUCAGCAGUUGUGUGGAAGUAAAAAUGACCCAGCUGUGACUUCUCGCCCAGCUCUAUGGUGCUUUACAGCAAAGCUGAUGAAGCCUAGAGGUGUCUGUCCUCACAAAACCUCACUGCAUCCCUCCAUGUGUUAUUGCUGCUCUGAGGGAUGGCAGAAAGCCCCCAUGGGGAUCUCUGCUUGAUUUUGGUGAGAUUUGAUGUUAAUUUGGGAUUACAAUUGAGCCUGAAUGUGGGAAAGAAAGAAGGCAGCUGUAGGUGCCUGCUGAGCUGUGAUGUGGCUCUUCUUCUCUGCCUGCUGUCACAGGUUGCCCUGCCCUGCAGCUGCUCAGACCCACAUGUAAACACUGAGCCACCAAACUCCUCUCCAAGUUACCUUUCAUCUCCUGGGAGCAGAGAGUGAAAGCAAAAUCUGCUUUGCUGUGUUCAGAGCUCGGCUGGCCACCUCUCUGUGAUGAAAGAUCCUGCUGCCUUCAUGUCGUGGCUUUGGGGCUGUCUGCUGGGGUUCUGUGCUCCCAUCGCAGUGUCUGGGGCCAAUUUUUGUGUUCUCUGACUCUAAUGCACGCAGAGUCCUUGUCCCAAACCUAGCAGUAAGGAAACUAGCUGUCUGCUCAGCUUUUCCAGAAAAAAAACUGAUGGCUGGGAGGCCCAGUCCCUACUUAAGAUGCUGCUAUGAUGCUUCUUGAAACUGGCUCCUGGGAGCUAGCAAUGAGACAAACUGUGUUUGGUUCCUGACCAAGUCUAUGCUUGCCUGUGACGCAAUUAGAGUGAAGUAAUACACGCUGCACAUAGAAUGGUCCAAAUUUCUCGUAGAGAUGAGUGUUAGAGCUGGGCAAAGCUCAGAACCUGUCCCUAGCCCAGUGGUAAUUGUAAGGUAUGGCAGUCCUUUGAAACUGCUUUUGUAUGCAGGGCUGGAAGGGGCCUCCUAACUGAUGCCCACUUACCUUCUAUUUUCUUCAACUUUGUUGACUAUUACUUUCCAUAAACAAGACAUGCUCUGUCUUCGAGGGGAGGGGCUUGUCCUCAUAGUAUUCCAGCUGAAAA
ensembl:lncRNA